rnacentral:rRNA from 1 species
AAACAGCCGCGGUAAUUCCAGCUCCAAUAGCGUAUAUUAAAGUUGUUGCAGUUAAAAAGCUCGUAGUUGAAUUUCGGGGUCAGUAGGUCGGUCGUGCCACUGGUAUGAACUGGUCUCACUGAUUCCUCCCUCUUGUAGAACCGUGAUGCCAUUAAUUUGGUGUUGCGGGGAAACAGGACUGUUACUUUGAAAAAAUUAGAGUGUUUAAAGCAAGCUAACGCUUGAAUACAUUAGCAUGGAAUAAUGAAAUAGGACGUCUGUCUUAUUUUGUUGGUUUCUAGGAUGGACGUAAUGAUUAAUAGGGAUAGUUGGGGGCAUUAGUAUUCAAUUGUCAGAGGUGAAAUUCUUGGAUUUAUUGAAGACUAACUACUGCGAAAGCAUUUGCCAAGGAUGUUUUCAUUAAUCAAGAACGAAAGUUAGGGAUCGAAGACGAUCAGAUACCGUCGUAGUCUUAACCAUAAACUAUGACCGACUAGGGAUCGGAUGAUGUUUAAUUUUUAAUGUACUCUAUUCGGCGCCG